CCCCGCCGGGUGGCCAUGUUGCAGUGCUAGCAGGCAGCGCAGAGGCGGCGGGCGGCAGCGCAGCGCAGACACCGCACCGCGAUGGCCGUGGCCGUGGGCAGACCGGCGAACGAUGACCUCAGGAACCUGUCCCUGUCCGGCCACGUGGGCUUCGACAGCCUCCCGGACCAGCUGGUCAACAAGUCAACGUCACAGGGCUUCUGCUUCAACAUCCUGUGCGUGGGUGAAACCGGCAUUGGCAAGUCGACGCUGAUGGACACGCUGUUCAACACCAAGUUCGAGAGCGAGCCCGCCACGCACAACGAGCCCGGCGUCAGGUUGAAAGCGCGGAGCUACGAGCUCCAGGAGAGCAACGUGCGGCUGAAGCUGACCAUCGUGGACACGGUGGGGUUUGGAGAUCAGAUCAACAAGGAUGACAGCUACAAGCCCAUCGUGGAAUACAUCGACGCACAGUUCGAAGCCUACCUGCAGGAAGAGCUGAAGAUCAAGCGCUCCCUGUUCAACUACCACGACACGCGGAUCCACGCCUGCCUCUACUUCAUCGCUCCCACCGGACACUCGCUCAAGUCCCUGGACUUGGUCACCAUGAAGAAGCUCGACAGUAAGGUGAACAUCAUCCCCAUCAUUGCCAAGGCUGACACCAUCGCCAAGAACGAGUUGCACAAGUUCAAGAGCAAAAUCAUGAGCGAGCUGGUCAGCAACGGUGUCCAGAUCUACCAGUUCCCAACCGAUGAGGAGACGGUGGCCGAGAUCAACGCCACCAUGAGUGUCCACCUCCCUUUUGCCGUGGUUGGCAGCACUGAGGAAGUGAAGAUUGGCAACAAGAUGGCAAAAGCCAGGCAGUACCCCUGGGGUGUCGUGCAGGUUGAAAAUGAAAACCACUGCGACUUCGUGAAGCUGCGGGAGAUGCUGAUCCGAGUGAACAUGGAGGACUUGCGGGAGCAGACGCACACCCGGCACUACGAGCUGUACAGGCGCUGCAAGCUGGAAGAGAUGGGCUUCAAGGACACGGAUCCGGACAGCAAACCUUUCAGUCUCCAGGAGACGUACGAAGCAAAGAGGAAUGAAUUCCUGGGCGAGCUCCAGAAGAAGGAGGACGAAAUGAGGCAGAUGUUUGUCAUGCGAGUGAAGGAGAAGGAAGCAGAGUUGAAGGAAGCAGAGAAGGAUCUUCACGAAAAGUUCGACCAUCUAAAGAGGACUCACCAAGAAGAGAAGAAAAAGGUGGAAGACAAAAAGAAGGAACUUGAGGAAGAGCUGAACAACUUUCAAAAGAAGAAGGCAGCAGCACAGCUAUUACAGUCACAGGCUCAGCAGGCAGGUUCUCAACAAACCAAGAAAGACAAGGACAAGAAAAAUGCAAGCUUCACAUAAAGCCUGUCGAGCCAAGGAUGUUCCUGCAUUCACCUGCUUUUGCAGUAAUGUGUCUCUGCCAUCUGUUUUCUUUUUAUAUAUUUUUUUCCAUUUUUUUUAACAUGAAUAACUAUUAACUCAUCUAAUAACAUAGUGGGAACAAGAAGGAAGAGGGAUUGGGUGCAGGACUGUGUGUGAGUGGAAGUUCAGGGCUGGGUGGAGGGACGAGUAAUCAUGAUGACACCAUGCAUUUUUCUCACCAAAACCAUCAGCAGUCAAUUCUUUUUGGCCCCUAGUCUGAACCAAGAGUCAGCAGCUCAGGUUUUGGCUGGCUCAGGUGUCCUCAGUGCUGCUGGCUGUGCAGUGGGAACCCCAGGAAUGAUGAGUGUUGUAGGAAUGUCCCAGCCAGCCCAGGCCAUGGCUGGGGCUGGAGUUCAGCCUGAGCCACGUUCCUGCAGGAGCUGAUGCCUUCAGCAGCCCCAGUCCCUGCCGGGGAGAGGGAGGGGGGUGUGUGUAGAUAACCAAGUGUAACUGACCUUGCAUGCCGUGACAUUUGCAUGAUAAUUUGUGUUAGAUCCUGUUCUGUGCUGGCCUGGUUUUCCAGCCUCCCUUCCAGCUCAGCAGAGCAGCUCAGUGGCUGCCUCGGGGAAGGACCAUUCCCAGCACUGCUCUCCCUGCACUGCUUGCCUCAAACCUUUGGAGCCUCCCUUAAAAUCCUGCCUGGUUUCCAAUGGGCAGGGUCUUAACGAGGCUUAAGCAGCCCUCAUGGAAUCAACUGCCUGGGCAGGGGGAAGAUAGAACCUUCAGCAUCCUCUUGGAGCUGCCAGGAGCAUGUGGGAUCCAGAAUUCCAGGUGGAGGGGAGAGAAGGUGCCUGGACACAGUCUCUGCACUGCCCCCAAGCCCUCCUGCAGCAGGAAUCAUGUCCCAUUCAGGUAUCCCUAGGACAUGGCAAGGAGGUGCAGGAUAAGCCAGGCCCUGCUCUCUGGCCACACACUGUGGAAGUGGGGGCUGUUUAAAGUGUUUUUUCCAUGCCAUUGCUUUCAGACACAGUCAUUCCCUUCCUUCCCAAGGAGUGGUGAGCUGUGCUUACCCCGUGACUCCUGGAUUUCUUCCUCUGCCAGUGCACAGCCAGCACUUGCUCUGCUCCCAGCUAGGCAGUCUCUUUAAAACCUUCUUACACAAAACUCUUCCUACCUGAGUCUCCUUCCGCAGCUCUUGGCCUGCUUCUGGAUGGAAUUUCUCUGGGGGAAAAAGAAAAGGCAGAAUUCCCACUUCUUUUAAAUUCCCACUUCUUUUAAUCACUUUUUCCUCAGGUGUUGGAUUGGGAAGUGCUUGGAGGUUAGCUUAUGGGUUGUCUUGCUUUUUUACCCUCACCGGUUAAACAUGGCCUUGGGAAAAGGAUAUCUAUGAACCAUGUCUUGGACAGAGAGCAGAAAUGGAUAAAUAGCUGGAAAUAAAGCAGUUGCCCUUUUUAUUCUUUUUUACACAUUUAAAAAAUUUUUUUUAGAUUUUUGAAGUUGUUUUUAAAGUUGUUUUUUUUUUGUGGUUGUUGUUUGGGUUUGGUUUUUUUUUUUCCCCUCCUGGAGUUGCCAACUAUGCACUUUUCAUCAGGUUAAAUGGGUUUGCUGCAGGGUUAGUUGGAAAAACGAAAUUCUGGUUCUUGUGGCUUCUGGCAAACCCAGCUUUGAAAUCUGGAGUUCUGAAGGAAGAAGUUUGAGUUGUUUGCAUGAGUUUUUUACAGUCACAUCACAUGCCCAUCACCGAGUGCUCGUGGCAAUAUGCUUUGCUUCAGCUGCCUCUGUGCAUGUCAUCUUUUUAAUUACCAGUGUUUUGUGCCAAGUAGAAAACUUAAUUUUAACAUUUAUUUCUCCUGCUUCGUUUAACAGCCCUUGAAGGGAUGUUUAGCAGGGGAAAUCAGCUGAGUUGAGCUUUUCCUUUUUGACAGAAAGCUGUGGUCAAGUGCAUUAGUGUAUUUUUGGUUGAGCUUUUCUCCAGCAGAAAACCAGCUGUGUUGGAGAAACUGGGAAUAAACCACAAACUUGAAGAUGUCAAAGCUUCUUCUUUAUGUAAGCGUCACCUUGCCAAAGCCCCCGCACCCUCUCUCCCAGUGGACCGUAGGGCACUGGAAGAGCUGCGGAUCCGGGGCAGCCGUGCCAGGAGAAGAACCAUCUCAUUCCUCCAUCACGUCUGCCCUCCUCUCCUCCCCCCUUUGUUCCCACCCGUGCGUCUGAGGGUGUGCUGUGCUGUGUGUCUGUGCGGGACCUGCCCGCCGCGACAGCGUCCCGGCUUCCAGGGAACGGCCGCCGGAGGGAGCUCGGCCGCGCUGGGACUCCUUGCUCUGGGUUAGUUGGAUUUUUUUGCCUCCCUCCCCGAUUUCUUUUGCCGUAACACGCACACGCUGCUGGCGACACACGGAAUGACAGACUUGGGGGCGAGUGUGCAAAGCUGGAGGAUUUAAUUUCUGCCUCGAGCCUGGCUGCUUUGGACACCACAACUUCAUCUCGAGGGCGUCCCGUGCUCCUCUGGCGUGGCUGGAAAUCUCUCCAUAGACCUGGUGGUGUUCUCAGUGUGUCAGUGUGUGACGGUGGAUGUCCCAUCCUGUGGCACUGAUGGAGCCUGUGCUGGACUGUCAAGGCUUUAUUUUCUGUGCCUUGCUAUGGGCAGAGCAAGGUUCUGGUUUUGUACAGCUGGCUUGCACCUAGAUGCAGGGCUUCAUUUUGUUUUCAUGAAGCCUAACUAGUGAUUAUUUUUUAACAGUCCUCAGUGUGGGCAAGUUGUUAAAAUUUCUACCUUGUUUACUUUGGAAGUGAACUCAGUUGAGAAGUUUGGGAAGUGCCAAAGGAUUGCUUGAAGGUAAAAACACAACCUGUAGAUGUGUGUGGUGACCUCCAGCUGCUUUGGGAUGGAGGGAAGGAGGCAGCCCGAGCCUCUUGGGAUGUUGUUUUGUGUAGAGUGCUGCACUUGGAUUUUGAACCGAAUACUAGUGAUUUAUUCUUUGCAUCUGUGAACAUUAAUCAAGGCCUUCCCUUCCUUUAACCUGCUGAGGUAAAGCUACCCUGAGCUGAUCUAGGUUUGGCCUCUGGCACUCGGUGUGUGACAUGCCAGCUGCUGAGGGGCUCUGCUGAAAUCUGCUGGGGUUUUUUUUUUCACACAUACAGUGUUUUGUAGCAUCUUCAGUGACAAGGGUCAGCUCCCUCCAGCCAGGUGAAAGAAAAACUGCAUAUCCUGGAAGCCUUUGCAACCAAAGAAGUGACUUUAUAAAUACACUCAGGAAGGUUAUUGAGCGUUGGCCUCACGUGUGCUGUGCCCUGGUAUGUAGCUGGACUUGCUGGCUGUUGCCCAGCCUGAAGGGCUGUGAAUAUUUGCACAAGUGUAGCUUGGGACAGGACUUGCAGUGAUACCAAAACCAGAGUCUGCCCCACUCUUGAAGCUGCAGGGGCCUCAGGUGGUACCCAGUGCCUCCCACCACACAGCCAGGUCAGAAACAUGUUCAGUUCAGCCUUGUGAGCACAAAGCAGGGUCGAGGCCAUUGCUGGAUGAAACCUUGGCUGUGUCUGUCCCUGUCUUGCUCUGCAGAACUCUGUGGGUGUUUGUCUUACCUGGGAACCACAACUUGCAGGAUGGGAUCCCUGCGUGCCCUGGGCCACCAUCCCUACCAAAAAGCCAUGGCUUGAGCUGCACAUAUUCAUAAAAAAAAUAGUGAGUUACCUUGGAGCCUGAAAUAGGGGUUCACCGUGCAGCCAAGGGCUGCUGGGGCUCAGAGCAUGCUGGUGCUCGGGCCCCUCCUGUGCCUCAUGCAGGCAGUGUCCCCCUGGCCCAGGGUGCUCUGCACACCAAGCUGGUCACUGUUGACUGAGAACACGCCUUGCCCUUGCAAUGCCCAGUUUAGGCUGUCUUUUCUUCCAGUGGUGGCAGCUGUGCCAGUGGCUGCUGCUGGGGGCCCAAGGGCCUUGGCUGUGGGCUCCUCAGCUGCUGGAUGGCUCCUGCAGCCUUCUGUGAGACCCUCUGCCAGGGAGGGAAUCCUCUCCUUAUGUUCCCCUCUGUCCUCACACCUUUUUGUUGUUGCUUCUAAGCUCCAAAUGGAAUUAUUUUAAAAGCCUAAUAUAAAGAGAAGCAGAGGGGCACAACCCCAAUGCUGACACUCACACAGACUGCCUU